UAGGGAAUCUUCCGCAAUGGACGCAAGUCUGACGGAGCAACGCCGCGUGAGUGAAGAAGGAUUUCGGUUCGUAAAACUCUGUUGUUAGAGAAGAACAGCGCAUAGAGUAACUGUUAUGCGUGUGACGGUAUCUAACCGGAAAGCCACGGCUAACUACGUGCCAGCAGCCGCGGUAAUACGUAGGUGGCAAGCGUUGUCCGGAUUUAUUGGGCGUAAAGCGAGCGCAGGCGGUCAAUUAAGUCUGAUGUGAAAGCCCCCGGCUCAACCGGGGAGGGUCAUUGGAAACUGGUUGACUUGAGUGCAGAAGAGGAGAGUGGAAUUCCAUGUGUAACGGUGAAAUGCGUAGAUAUAUGGAGGAACACCAGUGGCGAAGGCGACUCUCUGGUCUGUAACUGACGCUGAGGCUCGAAAGCGUGGGUAGCAAACAGG
rnacentral:rRNA from 1 species